GGCCGCGGGGAAUUCGAUUGCAUAUCAAUAAGCGGAGGAAAAGAAACCAACCGGGAUUGCCUUAGUAACGGCGAGUGAAGCGGCAAAAGCUCAAAUUUGAAAUCUGGCGUCUUCGACGUCCGAGUUGUAAUUUGAAGAAGGCGACUUUGUAGCUGGUCCUUGUCUAUGUUCCUUGGAACAGGACGUCAUAGAGGGUGAGAAUCCCGUGUGGCGAGGAUCCCAGUUAUUUGUAAAGUGCUCUCGACGAGUCGAGUUGUUUGGGAAUGCAGCUCUAAGUGGGUGGUAAAUUCCAUCUAAAGCUAAAUAUUGGCGAGAGACCGAUAGCGAACAAGUACAGUGAUGGAAAGAUGAAAAGAACUUUGAAAAGAGAGUGAAAAAGUACGUGAAAUUGUUGAAAGGGAAGGGCAUUUGAUCAGACAUGGUGUUUUGUGCCCUCUGCUCCUUGUGGGUAGGGGAAUCUCGCAUUUCACUGGGCCAGCAUCAGUUUUGGUGGCAGGAUAAAUCCAUAGGAAUGUAGCUUGCCUCGGUAAGUAUUAUAGCCUGUGGGAAUACUGCCAGCUGGGACUGAGGACUGCGACGUAAGUCAAGGAUGCUGGCAUAAUGGUUAUAUGCCGCCCGUCUUGAAACACGGACC
rnacentral:rRNA from 1 species